rnacentral:rRNA from 1 species
CCUACGGGAGGCAGCAGUGAGGAAUAUUGGUCAAUGGCCGCAGGGCUGAACCAGCCAAGUCGCGUGAGGGAUGACGGUCCUAUGGAUUGUAAACCUCUUUUGUCAGGGAGCAAAGGGCGCCACGUGUGGCGUUUUGCGAGUACCUGAAGAAAAAGCAUCGGCUAACUCCGUGCCAGCAGCCGCGGUAAUACGGAGGAUGCGAGCGUUAUCCGGAUUUAUUGGGUUUAAAGGGUGCGCAGGCGGAAUGUCAAGUCAGCGGUAAAAUUUCGGGGCUCAACCCCGUCGUGCCGUUGAAACUGGCGGUCUUGAGUGAGCGAGAAGUAUGCGGAAUGCGUGGUGUAGCGGUGAAAUGCAUAGAUAUCACGCAGAACUCCGAUUGCGAAGGCAGCAUACCGGCGCUCAACUGACGCUGAUGCACGAAAGCGUGGGUAUCGAACAGGAUUAGAUACCCUAGUAGUC